rnacentral:misc_RNA from 1 species
AUGCGCGUGUGUUUGUUUUUGGGUUGUUUAUGACCAUGUACUUGUAUGUGUGUACGUGUACAUGUGUGUUUCUCUAUCUCUGUAGAGGUGGUUCGGUGACCCAAAGGUUAUAGCGCCUGUCACCUAUACACUGAGGGUUGGCUGUACAGGGUUCAGUUCUCGUCUAGCUGUUCUUUCUCUCUAUGUGGCAUCUGUUUACAGGACUGGCUGUGUUGCCGUGAUGUAGCCUUAUAUGCUGACGGCUUAAAACACCAAUUCCCCCUCCACCCCUUGCUCUGUGUGAGUGUGAGUAAUUUUAUCUCCAGCUUUUUUUUUCAAACUGUAAAACCUAACGUCGCCCAAAAGAAAAAAAACAAGGGAGGGGCUCAACCACGGACUGUCAAUGUGUGUAGGCGACUCAGACCUGCUGACUCUUUACAACACAGUCACAAGGACUUUGCCUUUGAUCACACCAGACACUCAUUUUGUGGGAUAUUUUGUGGUUACAUGUUUGUGCAUCGAAACACAUUCGUCUGUUUUCAGGAGAUUCAUUUUCUAUUGACAGCCUAGCUAUGUCAAGAUGACCUACGAACUUAACUGACAACUUUACAGUGAACUUCUAUUUACGUGUGUGCAGAUAACUUGCCUGUCUAGUCUCAAGGGCUUGUAUGUACUUCAAGCCUUUAGCCCUCUAGCAAGACUAGUGUGACCUGAGUGGAUCGUGUGGUGUCGGGGCUGAAGACCGGUAGUACACUCGGGUGACUUCAAUGGCAACCUAAGCUGCAGUACCCCGUGGAUUUUGUGGCUUUGUAAAAUAAUCUAGGAGCAGGCCAUGUAGUCCGUUAUUAAUCUGCUCAGAGCCUUUCACACACUAAUUGUUGAGGAGAGGACCAAUGUUUCACUUAGUCUAAAGAUAUUAAUGUGAUACAAGUGGCAUAUUUAACGACUGGUUGGAAAAUCCUGGACUGAAUCCAAACUCGGUCUGGAGUACACCGGUGAGGACCCUCAGUUCGUCAGUUCUAUUUAUAGUAUCUGUUUUUGCUUACGUAGUUGAAGCGGCCAAACUGUCAGUUCCUUCUCAUUCAUGUCUCCUCGGUAGGUCCUUCCUCCGUUUGUUCUCAUAUUAAUACAUAUUAAAAAAAAAUUGUAAUCCUCAUAUCUGAAGUUGGCAGGUAUGUAGGAAGCGCGGGUGCUUUUUGACUGCUCUUGUUUAUCACCAAGGGCUUUAUUAUUUAUUUACGAGGGUGGCAGGACAGAAAGACAACUAAAAGAAGUGGCCACUAUGGUCAGAUCCCGCUAGUCGGUAAGAUUGUAGGUUCGAUAAAAGAAAUAUUUCGAUUAGUUAACGGCUUUUAGAGGCUAACAUCAGUCUAUUAGACAAAAAAAAGGAACAUCCUUCCCUCCCGGCACUCAAAUGACUUGUUUACAUCUCAUUUAUUUACAAAUUCACGAAGUGUUAUUCCAAAACAAUUGGUGUGUGCUGUUAUUUCUAUGGGUUUGAUGUUGCUGGUUUUUUCCCCCAUGUAACUCAAAGCUUUUAGUUGUUUAGCUGCAGAAAAUUUACAGAUAGACUUUUUAUUUUACAAUAAUGGCUAAUAAUAAUUAGGUUUUUUAGUGUCAAGAUUUAUCCAAGUUUCAGGUUAAGCAUUGAAUGAAAGAGUAAGCAAACAAAUAAACAAAUCAGUCAGUCAAUCAAUAAAUUCUUCUAAUAUUGUUGCUUUAUGAAAAAUGUCAAUUUUUAACAAUGACACGCUGUUUCGCUUCAGCAGUUUUUGUCGGUAAAUAAUAAAGAUGUUGAAACAUGCAAAAUUAUACACAACA